rfam:Culex pipiens quinquefasciatus supercont3.127 genomic scaffold, whole genome shotgun sequence.
CCAACGGCCCUUUUCAGGGCCAAUAAUACCCUCACGAAAGAGUUAU